GUUGUGGUGAUGGAAAAAUACAAAUCCCAUUAUUGAAAACACCUCCUCCCCUCCUUCAACAUCUCAUUUUUUAUAACUUCUCUAGUGAUAACCUAAAUUAUCAAAAUAAUAUUCGCUUAUACAACAUGAUGUUUACUUUCAUAUCAGCAGUGCAAAACUUGACAGAUCUAUCAACAAUGGUAAAGGUCCACCAAAUAUUCGGAUACAAGGACAAUCAUGUCAUUGCAUUGGUAGCAUGUUACUGAUGCCUGUAUAAUGCACGAAGUUUGCUCAACUCUAUAUUUAUGAUACAAAAUAUGAAAUUGAAAACAUGAUGGAAGGAAUAAGGUAGAUAGUAAUUAAUUACUAUACAAAUAAUGUCAUAUUUCUAUCUAUCCAACUACUCAUUAUUGAUUUUUUGUUCAAUCUAUGAAUAUAGGAACAACAAGGUUGAUUCAAAAGUAGUUUGGUAAUUAUCACAAAUGUUGGAUGAAAAUAAUGUCUACACAAAAUCUUUCAUAAUGGCAAGGGAAAGAUUAAAAGAUGGUGUUAUUCCAAAUUUAAAGUUGAAGCUAAUUUCCGAAAUGAAUUCUAAUGGCAGAAUAAAUAACUUACCAAUGGUUUCUGAUGUGGCUGCUUUAAUAGUUGGAGAUAUUGACUCAACAUCACAAAGAGAUAUAAUUAUGGAAACACAAAGUGGUCAUUUGAAGAGAAUUGAUGAAUUACAUGUAAACUAUUUGGCAUUUCAAUAUACAUUGGUGUUUACAUUUAGAGAGAAUGGUUACAAACAUGAUGUUUGUCAUAGAGCUAGAGCUUAUUCUAACUGUAAGAGAAUGGAUCUCCUUUAGAUUGCAAACAAGGAAGAAUGCGGCUCAAACUUUGUUGCGAUCAAGAAGGCUAUUUCAUCAAUUUUUAGAAGACGCUUAUACUAUGAUGGAGUCUAAAUGAUUAUCUUUUAUCAAAAGAAACCAUUCAAAGCUAAGGGUUGAUAAAUACAGAAAUUUGAAUGCAUCUCAAACAAAUGACAAAAGUCAAGGAUCAAAUAUUGGAAAGAGGGUGAUAUUACCUUCCACAUUUGUUGGUAGUCGUAGAUACAUGGAUCAAUUAUACUUUGAUGAGAUCGUCAUCUGUAGUUCAUUGGGAUUUCAUGAUUUAUUUUUGACAAUGACAUGCAAUCCUAAUUGGCUUGAAAUUGUAAGAUUUCUUAAUCCAUGGGUAUGAAGCCACAUGAUAGGACAAAUAUCAUGUCAAGGGUUUUCAAAAUGAAGUUUGAAGAAUUACUUCAAGAUUUGAAGAAG
rnacentral:lncRNA from 1 species